GCCCGGGUGUUGGAACUGGUAGACAACCGGGAUUCAAAACCCCGUGCCGCAAGGCGUGAGAGUUCGAGUCUCUCCCCGGGCACCA
rnacentral:tRNA from 1 species